GAAUGAAGAACGUAGCGAAAUGCGAAAAGUAAUGUGAAUUGCAGAAUUCAGUGAAUCAUCGAAUCUUUGAACGCACAUUGCGCCCGCUGGUACUCCGGCGGGCACGCCUGUCCGAGCGUCAUUUCAACCCUCAAGCCCUCCUUCGGGAUGGGCCUGGUGUUGGGGCUCGGCCGCCAUCUCCGGCGGCCGUCCCCUAAAUACAGUGGCGGUCACGUCGCGACUCCUUUGCGUAGUAGAAACACCUCGCUCCGGAUAGCAACGCGGUCCACGCCGUAAAACCCCCAAUUUUCAAUGGUUGACCUCGGAUCAGGUGGGAAUACCCGCUGAACUUAAGCAUAUCAAUAAGCGGAGGA
rnacentral:misc_RNA from 1 species